GGAUUGAACCCACAACUUCAUGGAUGUUAUUUGGGUUCAUUACUGCUGAGCCACAAUGGGAACUCCCGUUCUGAUACUUGAUCCUUUGAUAUGACUUGUUCUUUCUCUUUGGAAGUUUUGUUGGGUCUUUUCUGUCUUCCCAGUGUUCUGAAAUUUCAGGAAAUGAUGUGCCUUUGUGGGGUCUUUUUCUGUUUGGCAUUUGUAAUGUUAGAAGUCAUGUCCUUCAAAUGAAGGACAUUUUUUCUCUGUUCCUUCAAUAAUCUCCUCUCCUGCAUUUUCUGAGUUCCUUCUCUCAUUAAUGAUUUUAUUUUGGACCUUCGGUCCUCUCGUGGCCUCUCAUGACUCUGGUUUUUCUUCUCUCUACUAUUAAGUCCAGUUUCUUGAAGGAUUUCAGUGUAUUAGUUUCCUAAUGCUACCAUAACAAAUUACCACAAACUCAGAGGUUUGAAAUGUUACGGCAGCUGCCCAGCAGCCCUGCACUGCAGCGUAUCAGCUCUGGUGACAGCCCUGUGGCUGUAGUGCACCAGCUCCAGCAGCUCUGUGGCUGCCGUGGAUCAGCUCUUUCACCUGGUGAGAAACCAUGCGAGCCCUCGGAGAGGUGGAGAACUCAGGCUUAUUACGUCGGCGGGCUCAGAGGAGAUCGCCCUCCGGAGUCUGAGCCCCAAAGAGGGGUUUCACAAGGAUUUUAUGGGCUAGUUCUUCCGGGUUCAUGCUUGGCGGACCAGAGUGAGAACUGGCAAGUUUACGGAAGCAGAUGUGUGGGGGAGGGGUGGUUAGGGGUAGUUGGCCGGGUUUUGUUUCGUCAUGAGGGUGGUGGGUCUCUCCUUUCUACAUUUUUAUCAGGACAUUUUCUCCUGCAUUCCCACCUCUUGAUGCUUUUCCACUUUCUUGGAUCAAGCACCAAUUUUUAGAGGUCAAGUUGUGUCUGAUGUAUCCGGGGGGGGCAUACUGUAUCCUGACUAACAUUUGCAACCUUAUAGACUAUUCGUGUGGUUAUGAAAUGAGUAAUUGCAUUAAGAAUUCAGGGCCCAAACAAGAGGGCAAUGAUGGGUAUAGUCAGAGGCCCAGUUAAGUGUAGGAGCCAUGAAGUCCAGUUCCAGUUCUUAUUCCAAUAGUUUGAAGAUUCUGCCAAUUCUUGCCUUCUCUUGGUUAUUCGCUCUUUUAAUUGUGCCAUGCUGCUGAUUACUCCUGACUUGUUGGCGUCAAGAUAGCAUUCUUCCUUACGGAAUAAGCAGAGUUCCCCUUUUCUGCUGUCAGUAAUUCUAGUCCCCUCCUAUUUUGUAAUACCACCUCCAUCAGGAGUCCAGUUGCUGUUGGGCUUCUAUGGCCGCUACAGUGGCCUUCCAAGACUCUUGAACCAUUAUAGUCAGGUUAAGUACUGAUCUCUCCAACAGAGGUACUCCAGCAAACCAAAAUAAUCCUCUAAAGAUAAAAUGUCUACCCCUUGGUUUUGAAAAGAGAGGCUGUUUUACCACUAACAUGCUAAUUAGCCCCAUGGGCUAGCCUCAUUCUGGGUCUCCCCAUGGUUCUGCGUGCUCCAGUUUUAGGUCUUUCAGAAGACUACUGGACUGAUGGUGCUGGUGCUGGAGAGCAGGGUGUGGAUGUUGGCAGUGUUAUUGACCUCUGUGUGUAAUGUGUAGGUGAACCCACCUAGUGUUCCCUCCAGCUGGAUGAGGUCCUCUACGGCUGUGGGGUGAGCCUCGACCUCAACAUCUCGUACCCCUGUAGGGUUGUUCUCGUGCAAGCAUGCCCAACAAUUCGUCCUGUAUACCAAUUUUGACAUUUGAGAUACUAUUGAACUCCACGGGUGGGGGAACCUGGAUCUGUUUCUUGGUCAUAAAGGCUAUUAUUAGGGUGAGGAGCCCCCUCAUUAUGUUUGUUAGCUGGUGAUGAGGAGGACUCCCAGUGUACUGGAAGUCAGAAGAUACACCAUACAAACAAACAACCUAGGGCCCUCUUCCCAUUCCCGACUUCAAGUGCAAGGGUUAGGGUGAUUUCAAUGGCUAAUGUCCCACACCAGAACACGAGUUCAAGUUAAGUCUCACGUGGAACUCCUCAGGCUUCUACCGUGCAUCGACUGACCAGCUUCCAGGGGUGGCCAGAGCAGGGCUUAGCGCUCUCCAAUGAUGGUGAAGGGAGUAUUUGGAACUGGACCUUGAGGAGAUUCUUGAGGUGCUGUAUAGCCUCCCAGGUGUCCAUGUCAGCAGCGGAUGCAGCCUUCUUGAUUCUGGUGUGAUGGAUCCAUGGGAUAAUACCAGUAACCUUUAUAGCAGUUGGGGUUGCUAUGCAACACUUAAUUUACAAAUGUUAAUCAAUAGCCACAUCAAAGGAUGUAUCGAAGCCCAUGUUCCUACACUGACUACCUGAGUCAAUAUUCUGCCUCAAUUCCCCCCCAAGUUGGAGACUCUGUGGGGAAAGGGGGCAAUGACUGCUCUGACUUCUUUCUGCUGAAAUGGGGCGUCAUAUGGGAAAGCAGUUAGGUCUCCACUCAUGGGACGGUCAAGUGGGCUUUGAGACAUUGCUUUGGGUACCCCCCUGUACCAACAUUUGAAGGUUGAUAGCUUUUCAUCAGGAUGUAAUGAAGCGAGAAAUACAAUUAAUUAUACAGGGUCUGAAUAAAAGGACCAAGAUCACAAUGAAUAUGGUGAAGAAAUAUUUUCACCAAGAGGAGGAGGUCACCUGGUUCCACAGGGCAGCUCCAAAAGCGGGAGCUGGAUAGGACCGCUCAUGAAUCUACUGUUGAAGAUCUAGCAGGGAAUUAGACACAUUCUGUGAACAAUCAGGAAUACAACAUUUAGAUUUUAUAAUAGCACAGGUAACUGGCAUGAUUUUUCUGGUUUCUCUGGCUGGUUAUGAAAUAUUUGUAUGCCUUGGUCAGCAUGUAAUUGAAAGCUACCUUAUGUCCUUGUGAGGAGUAUGAUUUAUGGCACCACCUUACUUUUAAAGAUUCUCUUCUCAGUGUCCACUUCCCACACACCUUGUAUCACUUUCUGUAUCCAUAUUAGUCUGUCCCUUAUUUUCCAACCAGAGCAAUCAUCUGAAGACAGACUAUUUUUCUUUUGCCUUAAUAAAAUGCAAUUCAUUCCUCAUUCCUUCUAUAUUGAAAACACACACAUUCUACUUUUCUCAAGCAACCACGGACUGUCCUUUAUAAUUUCUAAAAACACACGUUUUUCUUAUAGAGACCAUCUCAGGGUGGCACUGAUCAUAUUGAUUAAUCAUUCUCAAUACCUUUAGUUUCUGUUUAGUGAUUGAUGUCUCAGUGUCUCAUUUGACUUCUGUUAAACCUAGGUAUGAUAAGAUAUUAUACCUAAUGUUGCCAGCUAUAAUGACAUGUAUGUAUUAAUUAGGUCAACAAACUUCAAUUCUAAUUUAAGAUAUUAAUACUGAAUAUUUCCCCAUUUACUUGAACCUAAAAUUAAUUCUGGCCAGUUAGUUACCUUCCAUAUUUUGAGAAUUUAUAUAUGCAAAGCCUUAUUCAAGGAAAUGCAGAAAAAAAAGGCAUCUUUUAAAUCUAAUACAGUUAUCCAUGCUGCUGUUUCUGGGAAUUUGUGAAAGAAGAGUGUAGGGACUGGGCACCACUGGAUGUAAUGGGACCACUGUCUCAUAUAUUAGAUGAAGGUCUUGUACUAGGCACCAAUCCCUGUUAAGUUUUUGCACUCUCAAUAUAGAAGUGUUACAAGGGCUGUUACAUUCAAUUAAAAAUCUCUGUUCUCUUACAUUUCCUAUAAUUGGGAUAAGUCCCUGUCGUGUCUUGGGUCUCAGAGGAUACUGCCUUUGGCAAAGAAAUAAAUUCUGAUCUUUAAGACUUAUUUCCACCGGUUGAGUAUUCUUUGCUCUUCCUAUCUUUCCCCCUUUGGCCCAGACUUCUGGGUCAAUAUAUACUUCCAUCAAAGGCAGGCAUAAAUCUUGAUUAGCCUCCAUUGCCAUGUGCCUUUUUUUUUUUUUAUGGCCACACCCGUGGCAUAUGGAGGUUCCCAGGCUAAGGGUUCAAUCAUAGCUGAAGCCACCAGCCUAUGCCACAGCUGCAGCCACGUGAGAUCUGAGCAACCUACACCACAGCUCACAUCAGUGACCAGAUCCCCAACCCACUGAGCAAAGACAGGGAUUGAACCUGAAACCUCAUGGUUCCUAGUCAGAUUUGUUUCUGCUGUGCCACGAUGGGAAAUCCUCCAUUGCCACGUGAAUUGAAGCUUUAACCGCUUACAAAAUAUCUCUUUCUAAAAGAGUUGGACUCUGGAACAAUCAGAAAGCUGAUAGACUCUCUUGUUCCCCUAGUAAACCUCUGAUAAUUUUUAACAGGUUUUACUCAUGAGGCUUUUAAUUCCUCAACUACACAAGUAAUAAAAUGAUUUCUAUGCCAAUUGUGGUUAUCUCCCUCAUCAGCAGACCAACUGGGAUCACUCAUAGGAACUGCCGGACACCCUGUGGGGAAUCUUGUUCCAUCUCUUCUAAUUUGCCUCUGGCAUUUAUAGCAUCAUUCCAUUCAUCUUCCCCAGCUUUGAGCAGUUUCAAAGAUUUUAUGUAUUUUUUUUCACUUAUAGUCAAUGUCUGUUUUAGUAAUAACAUGACGUCCUUCCAGGCUAACCUAUAUCUGGCCCCAUUCUCCGUUUGCCACUUCUUAUAAAGGGAGUAGAGAGGGAUAUAACUUCAGCACUGGAGCGGGAAGAGGAGGAGCCUUGGGCAGUAUGGAGAAGGCUGAUUAACUUCUGGAGGGUCUGACCCAGUUGGGCCAGGAUAUGGUGGGCACCUAGGUCUUGAGGGAGUUGGCAUAAUGUACUGAGAAAGCCCACAAGCCUUCCUCAGUGUAGUGUCUUCCCUCACCGUAAAGAAGAUCUGACAUAAGGCAUCUCUGACCAUUUCCCUCCUCAUCUACCAAAUAGGUCUCAUUGGAGAAUAGUACUAUAAGCUAGAGAGCCUUCAGAUGGCCACUGCUCUCCAUCUGACAGAUUACAUAGUGGCCAGGUUUUGUGCAGAAGAAAAUUAAAUGUUUCUUUUUCAGAGUCUCAGGGUAAAACUUUUUCCAGUUCUUCAAGGCACAUGUCAGAGGAGUUGCUAUUGAGCCAUGCACCAGGCUUGAGGAGGUGGCUCCCAACCAAAAAAGAGAAAAGAUCAGCAUCCAGUGCCUAUUGUCCCUUCUUGGUUAUGUGAGGGCGACCCCUCUCUUAGAUGGAGCAGCUGGACAUUAGUGGUCAAAUAUCCCAUCCUACCUUAGGCUGACUGGAAUUGACCACUCUUUACCAGCAGAGCCUCUCUUCCCGUCAUCCCUGCCCAUUGCCUGUCUCUGGACAGAGGUAAAGAAAACUCAGGCAUACAGGCCCUGCCCUGAGUUUUCAGAUCCUAAGAUGCUCUCUCUGACAUGCCCUCUAUUAAUGUUAGGAAAGUUUCUAAGCCACAGUUAACAGGUAAAUUGGAUGAACCAGCUGUUGAUUUCUCCAACGAGGGUGAAAGUAAAUAGCAAAAAGCAAAACUGACAUGCCCAGGCCCUGAGGCUAAACACUUGGCCUAAGUUGGAUGAAUACUAGUUAGGAACUCCUUUUCCUCCGCAGGCCUGGUAACAACUCAGGGUGGUCUUAAGAUCUAGAUGUCUGUUUCCUUUGUCCCCACAGCUCUAUUUGAGGUAAUAGCAAAGGAAAUGAUGAAAGAUCAGGUCAGUUUUACACUGUAAUCUUCAGAAAAUCCCUUUUUGAAAUAUUUGAUCACACAGUCUAGCACCAUGGGUUUAGACUUGGGUGAACCCAUGGUGUCUUUCUGUGGAUCUUGUCUGUGGCCUGAUAUUAUGAGACCUUCUCUGACCUCGUGGGCGGUAUCCCCAAUAGCAUUGCCUCUGCCACUCCUGUACGCAAGACAGCUCCCACUCAGCUCGCUCUAUGGCUGGGGAGAGUACCUGCUUUGUUGCAAGUGUCUCUGAUCCAUCUAGGCCCCAGGUCUGGGGAAGGCACUCUCAGAGAAGUUCUAAUGUUUUGGCAAAGGACAGGGGGUCUCACACCCAAUCCUCCCUAUACCCAGAACUGAGACAGGGAUGACGGUCUUGUCUCCCUGACUCAGAUCCUGGGCCUACCCGAACUGACAAAAUGGGCAGUCCCGCGGUUUAGAAUCUGGGCUGGGGGUUCCUGGAGGCCCAGGGGCAAGGUCAAGUUAGAUUAUCUCCUUGGAGAAAUUUAUGGCCCCAAAUGGAGGAAGCACAGGUGUCUCUGACUCAUGGGCUUCUGGGUUAGGUCCCACCCCAUGUGGCCACCCUGUGCCGGUGUCGCAGACAAAACAAGGGAGGGUGCCCCCUUCUCAGAAGGUGGCCAUUCAGAUGUCCGCCUGACCGCCCCCCUCUCGGGAGUUUAGGUGCCUCUUAGCAAUUGGCUGGUUCGUAUAAGCCCCGAACUUGUAUUGGACUCGCAGGGAGGGAAGAGAACCCUCAGAAUCCGCUACAGCCAUAAGCCAUAUGAGGUCACCACGGAACUGCAGGUUAGGACCCACUCGGACUCCGUAGCCACUAAGACCGUGGAGCCACAAACUCGAACCUGAAGCGCAAGCGAAUCAGGCCGCCCAUUCACCCUCACACACACUCAGAGGUUAUCACAAUGCCUCCCUCUCCCUGGGAAUCCUUAACUAGUAGCUCCAUCAAGCGCAAAUUUCAACUGGCUACACCUGACCGUUGCUCCACCCAAGCAAGGGGUUCCUCUGCUUCCGAUCUGGAGCACGAGGACCCCUGCUCUGGGUCAAGCACAGCCUCCGACCGGGAGAGUCUCCCUAAGGGGGUGAUCAGUCCCCUCUUCUGCCCACUGGGGCAGGACCUGACUGGGGUUGGCCCCGGGGCCCUACCUUGUCCGGAUGCCUUCCUGGUGAGUUGGUCCAUCUCUCCACUGAGUCCGGUCAGGGUUCAGUCACCCGGGAGUCAGGAAUGUCACUCACAAAGGAGGACCCAGAAUACCGUCGGGUGGUGCACUGCCUCAUUCGGCUCGAGGCUCCCCAGCUCCCAGGCAGCCUUACCUCUGUUCUGGUGGCUCAAGGGGCCAGAACAGUUGAAAUCUCGCUGGGGCCUCCAGAAAUUUACAGCAGCUGCCCAGCAGCUCUGCACCGCAGUGUAUCAGCCAUGGCGACAGCCCUGUGGCUGUAGUGUACCAGCUCCAGCAGCUCUGUGGCUGCAGUGGAUCAGCUCUUUCACCUGACGAGAAAGCACGCGAGACCCGGGAGAGGUGGAGAACUCAGGCUUAUUACACCGGCGGGCCCAGAGGAGAUCGCCCUCUGACGUCUGAGCCCCAAAGAGGGGUUUCACAAGGCUUUUAUAGGCUUGUUCUUCCGGGUUCAUGCUUGGCGGACCAGAGUGAGAACUGGCAAGUUUACGGAAGCAGAUGUGUGGGAGGGGGCAGUUAGGGGUAGUUGGCCGGGUGUUGCUUCGUCAUCUGGGUGGGGUCUCGCCUUUCUACAUUUUUAUCAGGACAUUUUCUCCUACAAAAACAGCACUUAAUCUUUGCUCCUAGAGGCUGCUCCCUCCUUAUCAUGCUUUCCACAAGCACCUAGAGGCCUUUCUCAGGUAGUGUCCUUACCUGAGGCCCCUACCCCCCUCAAAUCUUGCUCACUGAGUCUUUAGGAUUCCUCUUCUGUGGUUAGACACUCAUGUGAUUACAUUGGGCCUUACUUGGUAAUCCAGGACCAUCUCCCUCUGUUAAUAAAGAUUAGCUGAUUAGUAACUGUAAUUCCACUUGUAAAGUUCCUUUAUAGUAACAUCUAGAUUAGUGUUUGUAUAAUUGGAGGGUGGGAAUUUUGUGGGGACAUACCUAGAAGUCUGUUUAUAACACUCAACUCUAUAUUUCAACUCUUAUCUCCUAAAUAUUCCUCUUUUAAAAAAAUAAAAAUAGCAUUCUAUUCUUGGGACUUAUGGAAAAUAUCGAAGACCUUAGUGAGUUUUUUUUUCUUUUAAGUUUCUCACCUUUGCUUUUUCUAUUUUCUGUUUCUUCUGUUUGUUAGUUUGGGGCUUUCUUUUGUCAUGUUAGAGGCUUUCCCCUAGGGUUCAGUUUUAGUCCUUGGCUCUCCGUCCAUAUUUAUGAAUGAGGGACUAGAAACUGACUGCAAACUCUGCACGUGGUAGGCUCCACCUAAGUAUCAUGGGGUGGGACAUUUCACUGGGGGACCUAGAGUGUCAGUGUAUAUGUUUUUCAGUUGGUUUUUUGGUUUGUUUGUUUAGGACUGGUUAGAAUUCCUGGAGAAGAAUGUGCCAGUCUCUGGUGGAGGACCUGGCCGCCAGUGAGGGUGGGGCCUGGGAGCAUCUCCAGAGUCAGUGGACAGCCUUCCUGAACCCUCCUGUAUCCAGUGUGGUUCUUCAAACCUCACGCCGCCUAGUGUUCUGGGGCAGAGUCCCUCUGCUCACUGUGUUCUGAAAAUAAACCUGCACCAUUUUGCUAAGGUUGGGGAGGGGAUCUACUAUUCCGUGAUAGAUUUUUUUCAAGCCAUCCUCCUGUUUUUUUUUGUUGUUGUUGUUGUUUGUUUUUUGUCUUUUUGCCUUUUGUAGGGCCGCUCCCACGGCAUAUGGAGGUUCCCAGGCUAGGAAUUGGAGCUGUAGCUGCCGGCCUAUGCCAGAGCCACAGCAACUCAGGAUCCGAGCCACAUCUGCGACCUACACCACAGCUCAUGGCAAUGCUGGAUCCUUAACCCACUGAGCAAGGCCAGGGAUCGAACCCACAACCUCAUGGUUCCUAGUCUGACCCUAAAAAAAAAAAAAAAAAAAA
rnacentral:lncRNA from 1 species